AUUUUCCUGAAAUUUCCAUUGACACUUUACCAUUAUUCGUAAAUGAAGGUGACAAUGUGUCAAUUACGUGCAAUGCCUUUGGUAAUCCUGUUCCAAUAGUUACGUGGUUUCAACAGGACCAGAAUAUAACAGAACGUCAAAUAAACCAGUCCAUCCUUCAUUUGUUUGAUGUUGGUCGUUUAUUGAAUGAAGAGCUGUAUACAUGUAAGGCAUUCGCAACUUCUACAACAUAUGGUUCUCUUGUAGCGGAAAAUACGACAGAACUCAUAGUUUUUUGUGAGUAUCCAUAACAUUACACAUGUACAUUUUUGUUUUACAGUUAACGUUUUCAAAAAUAAGAAUAAAAAUAAAAUGAUUCUUUAAUAUUUUAGAUAGUAAGUUGUAGUAUAUACAUUAUUGAUAUUAAUAAUCGAUUUGUAUCUUUAUAGCAAAUCCUACAUUUCGUUUAUAUAACAUAUAUUGGCAAUGUAUUAAAAAGGGCUCGUCCGUUUACAUACACAAACAUGUUCUUCCACUACGCUGACUGUAUACUCGUUGGCAACAGCUGAGUUUUGAAUUGGACAUGCUAUGAAUACAAAACAAUAACAUGAGGUGAUAAAACGAACAAAUAGUUUGAGAUAAAACACAUCAUACUUUCAUACUUUAUUGUAUGUUUCAAAUUGGGAAUUAGAUGGCGGAAACACUUUUAUGAAAUUAUAUCUUUGCAAUACACUGGUGACAUUGGUAUCAUCAAAUAUUUUUAAAAUCCAUUAAACCAAAUAUAAAUUCAAAUCGUAAAUUUGAUAUUUUACAGAUCCGCCAGUCAUAACAAAUUUUCAAGUUUUGAAUGGACCGACGGUAUCUGAAAAUAAGGAUGUUACAUUCCGAUGUGAAGCUGAAAGUAAUCCUUUGUCAAAUAUCACAUGGUUGUUUUUGAAUGAUCAGACGAAACUUAAAGAAGAAAACAGUGUUUAUACCAGUACCUACACCAUUACCAAUUCCAACUGUUUCCAUACAGGCACAUACCAAUGUCAGGCUGCAAAUAACAGAAAUGGGGUUAUUUCUGCAUAUGCCAAAGAUGUAGCUUUAAAUGUUAUGUGUAGGUAGCUUAAUCAUUACAGAAAUCUGAAGAAGUAUUUCAUGUGUCACAUACACCAUUUUAUAUAGGUUGGUUUUGUGAAUAUGUAAAGUCGCAUUAUUGAUAAUCUGUUUCUAUGUAUAUUCUGCUGCAUUUACGAAUUGACAUUGAUUAGAUACGCAUAUCACACGUAAUAUGUAAAUUUCUAUUUAUCAGGUUCACCGCGUUUAGAUACCCGAUAUCAAAGCCUACCUAAAAUAGUCGCUGUUGAAGAAAAUGGUGACUUAGAAUUAUCUGCUCAUAUAAUAGCAUAUCCUUUACCAGUAAUUCGUUGGAUAUUUACAAAUGAAGUCAAUUCCACAUCCGUAUUGGUUGGGAACUCAUAUGUUUCAAACUUGCAUAUAACAGAUUUUAAACAAUCGGAAUUUGGAGAAUAUACCUUGUAUUCAUUUAAUGAGCACGGGAACCUUUUUGUAAAAGUAAAUGUUGUUCCAAAAGGUGAGUAGUUACAUUCGAUGGCAUUUCUAAGGAGUCAUAUUUUGUUAACAAACGACGUUUACCAAUGUUAACAAUACCACAUACUAAAGUAAAGAUAGAAGCGUUCCGUUAUAUAAAAAGUAUGUAAUUUUUUUAGCUCACCUGAAGGGCCAAGUGAGCUUUUCUCAUCACUUUGCGUCCGUCGUCCGUCGUCGUCGUCGUCUGGCGUCGUCUGUUAACUUUUACAAAAAUCUUCUCCUCUGAAACUACUGGGUCAAAUUUACCCAAACUUGGCCACAAUCAUCAUUGGGGUAUCUAGUUUAAAAAAGGUGUGGGGUGACAUGGCCAACCAACGAAGAUGGCCGCCAUGGCAAAAAAUAGAACAUAGGGGUAAAAUGUAGAUUUUGGCUUAUAUCUCUGUAACCAAAGCAUUUAGAGCAAAUCUGACAUGGGAUUAAACUGUUUAUCAGGUAAAGAUCUAUCUGCCCUGAAAUUUUCAGAUGAAUCGGACAACCUGUUGUUGGGCUGAUGCCCCUGAAUUUGUAAUUUUAAGGACAUUUUGCUGUUUUUGGUUAUUAUCUUGAAUAUGAUUAUAGAUAGAGAUAAACUGUAGACAGCAAUAAUGUUCAGAUUAAAGUAAGAUUAAAAAAAAAGUCUGCAUGACCGAAAUGGUCAGUUGACCCCUUUAGGAGUUAUUGCCCUUUAUGAUCAAUUUUUAACCAUUUUUCAUAAAUCUUAGUAAUCUUUUACAAAAAUCGUCUCCUCUGAAACUAAUGGGCCAAAUUAAUCCAAACUUGGCCACAAUCAUCUUUGGUGUAUAUAGUUUGAAAAAUGUGUCCGGUGACCCGGCCAUCCAACCAAAAUGGGGGUAAAAAUCAGUUUUUGGCUUAUAACUCAAAAGCCAAAGCAUUUAGAGCAAAUCUGACGAGGUUAAAUUGUUUAUCAGGUCAAGAUCAGAUGGAUUGGACAACCCGUUGUUAGGUUGCUGCCCCUGAAUUGGUAAUUUUAAGGAAAUUUUGCCAUUUUUUGUUAUUAUCUUGAAUAUUAUUAUAAAUAAAGAUAAACUGUAAACAGCAAUAAUGUACAGCAAAGUAAGACCUAAAAAUAAGUCAACAUGACCAAAAUGGUCCAUUGCCUCCUAAGGAUUUAUUGUCCUUUAUAGUCAAUGUUUUACACUUAUCAUAAAAUUUGUAAAUUUUUACUUACAUUUUCCACUGAAACUACUUGGUCAAGUUCAUUAUAGAUAGAGAUAAUUGUAAGCAGCAAGAAUGUUCAGUAAAGUCAGAUGUACAAACACAUCACCAUCACUAAAACACAUUUUUUUCUUGAAUCCAUCUGCUUCCUUUGUUUAAUAUUCACAUAGACCAAGGUGAGCGACAUAGGCUCUUUAGAGCUUCUAGUUUAUUGAAUCUUAUGCAUUACUUGACUGUCUUCACAUACGUCACUUAUUAUUAAUGGAACACAAAUUUUCUUAAUGAUAACCAAAAAUAAAAGAAAAUAAUUUAUUCAAGCACUUUGUUUUAUUAAAAUGUUUAGGGCAUAUAAUUGCGUCAGUCUGUUGUAACAGGAUAAUGCUGUAUUUUAGCAUUUCUUUCGUUUUACAAUAAUAUUUUAAGCAUAGUUCAUGUUAGGCAUGACCAUUCUUAAGUAUAUGUAUUAUGUAACAGCAUAAUUAAACCUUUUACUUCGAUUCGAGCAUUACUGAUGACUCUUUGGGGAUUUAAAACGCGCGUCUGGUGUAUAAUUUUAUUUCUGCUAUCAAGGAUGGGUUUAUAGAUUGCGAUAAGUUAAGGUUUCUUUAGACACACCUUUUAACCAAACAGUACUAUAGCUGAAUAGAAAUGAAAGGUAUCCGGCGUAUAAUUCAUUACCCCAGACACGCGUUUCGUCUACAAAAGACUCAUCAGUGUCGCUCCGAUCAUAAAAUUUAUAAAACCAUAGAAGUACAAAGUUGAAGAACAAUACCCAUAAAAUAUAAAUUUCAAAACUGACAUGAUUAAACAAACUUUACUAAAAUUGUCCGUUUAUAAAUUUUGAAAUUAUUAUGAAACUAAGGUUUCAACUCCCUCAGGCAAAGUUGGCUUUAGAUGAAUUUGGCUAUUUAUUUUAGGUAUUUUUAACAUAUAGCUCUUCAACGAUUUUCGGUACUUAUACAUCUUCGGAUUUCAAAUGUUUGGCUUUGAGCGUUCCUGAUGAAGGUAAAUCCAGAAAAGCGCUUCGGACGCAAUAAAUUAUUAAACGUGUUGUUUUAUAUUUUUAAUAUAUGCCUGGGAUAGACAAUCCUUUGUAUAUCGAAAAAUUAAUACUUUUGUUAACAAGGAAAAAAAAAUGAUCAUAUCAUUGAAAUUAUUUUCCACACCGAAGUGCUGACUACUGGGCUAAAUUGCAUGAGUGUAAUAUUUAUCUAUCAUUAGACUGUCUUCGAUAUUAGAAAACAAAUAUUUUUGUUCCUAUAUAUCACAAAGGUAAACCCAUGCCACCUUCUAAAGUAAUAGUGGUGUGUAAGAGUACAUCUGUGGCAAUGUUUUGGAAUUCUGAAUUUGAUGGAGGCGCUAGGCAAACGUUUAUGGUUAAAUAUUGGAGAACGUUAGACGGUACAACGAUUUCGUCAGCACUUGUAGAAAACCUAACUGAGCAAACUGUCAUCAAAGAACUAUUGCCUGAUUCCAACUAUAGUUUUAUAGUUCAAGCUACGAAUAAGCAUGGAACCUCAAACUCUACAAUCAAAACGUGCAAGACUGAUGCCAAAG
rnacentral:lncRNA from 1 species